AGUGAACGCUGGCGGUAGGCCUAACACAUGCAAGUCGAACGGCAGCACAGUAAGAGCUUGCUCUUACGGGUGGCGAGUGGCGGACGGGUGAGGAAUACAUCGGAAUCUACUUUUUCGUGGGGGAUAACGUAGGGAAACUUACGCUAAUACCGCAUACGACCUACGGGUGAAAGCAGGGGAUCUUCGGACCUUGCGCGAUUGAAUGAGCCGAUGUCGGAUUAGCUAGUUGGCGGGGUAAAGGCCCACCAAGGCGACGAUCCGUAGCUGGUCUGAGAGGAUGAUCGGCCACACUGGAACUGAGACACGGUCCAGACUCCUACGGGAGGCAGCAGUGGGGAAUAUUGGACAAUGGGCGCAAGCCUGAUCCAGCCAUACCGCGUGGGUGAAGAAGGCCUUCGGGUUGUAAAGCCCUUUUGUUGGGAAAGAAAAGCAGCAGGUUAAGACCCCGCUGUUCUGACGGUACCCAAAGAAUAAGCACCGGCUAACUUCGUG
rnacentral:rRNA from 1 species